AACUCUUAGCGGUGGAUCACUCGGCUCGCGCGUCGAUGAAGAACGCAGCUAGCUGCGAGAAAGUAAUGUGAUUUGCAGGACACAUUGAUCAUUGACACUUUGAACGCAUCUUGCGGCCCGGGGUCCAUCUCUUGGGCCACGCCUGUCUGAGGGUCG
ensembl:rRNA 5_8S_rRNA 5.8S ribosomal RNA